GAUGAACGCUGGCGGCGUGCCUAAUACAUGCAAGUCGAGCGAACGGACGAGAAGCUUGCUUUUCUGACGUUAGCGGCGGACGGGUGAGUAACACGUGGAUAACCUACCUAUAAGACUGGGAUAACUUCGGGAAACCGGAGCUAAUACCGGAUAAUAUUUUGAACCGCAUGGUUCAAAAGUGAAAGACGGUCUUGCUGUCACUUAUAGAUGGAUCCGCGCUGCAUUAGCUAGUUGGUAAGGUAACGGCUUACCAAGGCAACGAUGCAUAGCCGACCUGAGAGGGUGGUAGGCCACACUGGAACGGGGACAGGGUCCAGACUACUAAGGGAGGCAGCAGUAGGGAAUGUUACGCAAUGGGCGAAAGCCUGACGGAGCAACGCCGCGUGAGUGAUGAAGGUCUUCGGAUCGUAAAACUCUGUUAUUGGGGAAGAACAUAUGUGUAAGUAACUGUGCACAUCUUGACGGUACCUAAUAAGAAAGCAACGGCUAACUACGUG
rnacentral:rRNA from 1 species